AUACUUACCUGGCAGGGGAGAUACCAUGAUCACGAAGGUGGUUUUCCCAGGGCGAGGCUUAUCCAUUGCACUCCGGAUGUGCUGACCCCUGCGAUUUCCCCAAAUGUGGGAAACUCGACUGCAUAAUUUGUGGUAGUGGGGGACUGAAAAAAAAGAAAAGAAAGGAAAAAAAAAAGACAUGACCCAU
rnacentral:snRNA from 1 species